rnacentral:lncRNA from 1 species
UUCUACCUUACAUUGAUUGCUAAGCCUAAAAAGAAAUAUUAAUUAGAGAAGAGGUUUUCCUUCGAGGGCACCCCUCAGUCUCUAUGAUAAUUUCUUCAUGUCUUCUCCAGGGGCCAGGGGGCUUUGCUUAUAUAGUCCUCCCCUUCUAUGCGUUUUUGGGUCGAUAGGCGAGGUGGUACUAUGUUUUUCUUGAUCCAAU